CUUUUUUUUUUUUUUUUUUUUUUUUUUGUGUUUGCUGAUUCUGUUUAGUUCAGCUAAUCUUACUCGAAAGCCAAGGCACAUUGAAGAAAGAAAGAAAGAAAAUUAUACACAAAUAUUACAGCACAAAAACAUUUUAGGCAUCAAGCCAUCAUUUUAUUUAUAAAUAUUCAUUGUAAUUAGUAUAUCAAACACACAAUCACAGCCACAACAAAUUUAAUAAAGCUCUCUCACCAAGCUUAUAACAUGACAUACAUAACCUUAACAAGCUUUUAUUUCAUACUCACACCAUUCUAUCUCUUAUUAUUAUUCAACUAGCGAAAUAACUAUGCAUGUUCAUGCCUUGACAAGUGAAGCAUCCACGUCUUUUCCAGCAUGAAUCAGCCAGUGGAGGUACUUAGUUGGAGCAGGCUCAUUCUCAUUGAUAUUCUCAUACUCAAUUGUCCAUUUGGCAUAGUUGGACUGACUUUUUGGAAUAACUUGUAAGGUAGCCUUGUAGCUCUUUAAUUGUUCCAAAAUAUGUCCUCCAACUGCUUCUGCAGUGACAGUCUUGUUCUCUUCAUCCACCGUAAGCCUUUCUUUCAGAGUCUCAACUUUUCCAUCUGGGCAGUAAAAUAUUUAUCAAAUUAUGCCAUUAUUAUAGGGAUAUUCUACCAAAUUGGUGGCAGAAAAACAUUAAGUUAUGAUGCAUAUCAUCUUGAAAUUCCCAGGAAAAUCACCAUAAUAUCAAACUGUUCUACACUAACUUUUAAAAAAAAAAUAAUUCAUGCAACUCAAAUUAGUAACUAUCAAUCUUACAAAGUAGAGAGUUGGUUUUUGCUACCUAUUGCAUAAGUCCAGAGCUUGACAGAGCCCUUAGUUUUCCAGUCACCUUGAUGAACUUUAACACCAUGAACUUUGUCGGAGCAAAGAUUUGGAAGUUUGUGCGCUUUACCACCAAAGCUGUGGAAGAACUCAUCAGGAUCAGACUUAAUCUUUAUCUCAGCUUCUAACUUUCCAGCUAGAAUUGGACUAGCCAUAAUUGGUUGUAGUAAUGCUGAAAAAUCGCUAUGCACCUUUUCCUAGUAAAUGUUCUACCAACUAAACUGGCUGCACCAUGAUUUAUAGAAUCAAAUUUUCAUUUCACAGUAGCUUUUAGAUUAUUACGUAGAUUAAGUCAACAUUUUGUGCAAAACUGUUUAGCAUAGAUGGUUAAUUGAGUGAAUGCAAAACUUUUUUAUGACAAAGUAUGUUCUAUUUGCAGUAACAAACUUGAUAGUUUUAUUAGAGAGGUAAAAAAUGUCAUAGCAUUUAUUCACGUGGUAAGUAGACAAAAAAAAGAUUUUUUUUCCAAACUUUAUAAUGUUUUUGGGAUGAUUGGAAAGGGAAAUCAGAGUAUGUUGACAAAUUGUUUUUUUUUUUUUCCUUUUUUUAUAGGUACUCACGCGUAUUGUUACAAGAAUGGAAAUGAAAAAAAUUUAUUUUGGCCCUUCAAAUCAAGAAAUUGUACAUUUGUCCGCUUCAUGAAUGGUGAAGCACAUCAGAAAGUCAUGUUUUUUUGUUUAUUCAUUUUUCUUUCUUUGUUCGAUACUCAACAACACGAUGGAUACGCUCAGCAAAAGUCGCAAACGCCAAAAUCUUGAUGAAAGCAGCUCUUCAGCCAUCAUCAUGUUGAAAAUACUGCAAAACAGUAGUGAAGGGCAUUGCAUUCAUGUAUCAAUAAGGCUACUUCUAAGACAAGAGAAAAGGAUUUGAAUAUUUUCUUUUUAGCUGCACCAAUCUAAUUGUUUGCUAAUUUUGGGCAAUUGACUAGUAUGAUCAUCUCAUACAUUAUCUGUAUUUGAUAAUUGAUAUAGGUAAUUACCUGCCAAUGAAUAAAACCAAUUACACGGUUUAAAAAGGGAACCUAAUUGGUACAAAUUGAGAUAGUUACGUUGACAACUACAUUGUGGCAUUGGAGAGAGGGUUGAAUUAGAUGAUAAGUUAAGAGAGAUUGUAAGUAAGAGGUUUAGGGUUAAAGACCUCCCACUUACAAGCCAAAAAAAAGACAACUUCAAGGUGGCAUAAAGUGACUAAAUUGAAUGUUCAAUUUAAAAAGUGAGAACUAAUGCCAUAAUACAGAGUAACAACUUCAAAGUGGUGGUUGCUAAUAAUUGUCAUCAUAUAUAUGCAAUAUUUAUUGAAAACCUAGGACCAAUUGCCAUAUACAGGGAUAAAGAUCUUACUAAUCAGUUGAUCCAUCUGAUUCGAUUACAUUCUUUUUCUUUUUCUUUUGCUUUUCAGAGAAUUGGAAUUUUAUUGCUGUAAAUCUUUUUACUGCAGCAGAAAUCUAUAUGCUCCACUACAAGCAUAUAUAUUAACCCUUGAACUAGCCAGUCCAGGUUUUUUUGUUGGACUAGGCUCAUUCUGGUUCAGUUUUUCAUAGUCAAUGGUACAUUUGGCAAAGCUGGAGUCACCUCUGGAGAUAACUUGUAACGUUGCUUUAUAGUUCUUGUAGUGCUUCAUACAAUCUCCAUCUAUUGCCUCAGCAGCAUUGGUCUUGUUCUCCUCGUCAAUUUUGAGCCUCUCUUUGUAUACCUCAACUUUCCCAUCUAUAUUUGCAUCACAAAGAAAUUCAUUAGUGGCUUUUCUUAACAUUGAAUAAUGUUUUACUCUUAAUUUGUUGUUUCCUAUAUUAUCUAGCUAUUAGGCUCAAUUUGCCACAUUUUGGGAAAAACGAAUUUAACAAGAAAAUGUAAUGGAGAAAAGUAUCAAUUAUUAAAAACUAUUGAUGCUUCGUUACGCCAAACUAAACUACAAUAUAGACUCCUUAUCCUUGAUGUCUUUCUCAUUUCGUUAGGAAAAUUAGAUAAUUGACUGAGUAUGCUAACUACUUCACAAGCUAGAUCGCAUAAAAAAAAUAAAAAUUCAUAAAACUUAAAGGAGUAAAUGAACAUUAAGAUACAGUAAAGUGAUGGUUUUACCUAAGUACAACAAAUAAGAAGUAGGCGUGGCAUUAUUUUUUGUGCAAAAGGGUAAAAACUUUUAUAAUGAAAGUGUUACAAUUCAAGAGAUGAGUGGUAGUAUUGAAAGAAAGAGUGUAAGUGAGAGAUUCCGAAUUCGAAACCUCGCACUUACACUAAAAAAAUGAUAGUAAUUUUAAAAGUUUAGUAGAAGGUCCUCUUCUUCUUCUUCUUCUUUUCUUUGUGCUUAUCUGUUGCCUUUAUAAAACUCAAUAGAAAAAUCUUAUUAUUCUACCGUCUUCACAUAAGAAGCAAUAAUAUAGAGUCAAUUUCUUUGCAACCAGUGAAAGGAUAAGGAGAUAAAGUCAAUUGAGGAGGCUAAUUACGAUAAUAUGUUAAGCUCAAUAAAAAUGCCAUGAAACAUAUGAUAAGAGUUGUUGUCAAGAAAUUAUACAAAAAGAUACCGAGGGAAGCCCAAAGCCCGUGAAAGGAAUAUAAAAAAUAAAAGAUUGUGAAUAUAUCAAAUAAAAUUGCGGUCCAUGGGCACGAAAUAAGUUGAGUACAAAUUUUGGUAUGAUCGAUUCAUAAAUUUCUGCUGAAAGAUUGUCUCCUGAAUUAUUUGUGGACAUCGAUUGUGAUGGCUCGGAAAACUUAGUUUCCUCUAAUUCAACAAAUUAGUUAUAUGUUGAUUUAUUUGAUCGAUUCAUAUAUAGCUUGCUUUAUCAGUUACCUUUGAUUCAAAAGUCAGUCCACUGUUUGCAGUACUUACUUAUAAGAAUGUGGUUUAAUAAUUUUGCAGAGUAAAAUUUAGAGAGGUUUUGAGGGCUUAGUUGACGAAAAUUUAACAAAUAUAUGGAAGGCCAAGCUAAGAAUCAGGGCCUGACAGAUAUUAUUACACUAUGAGGUCUCAUUUCGAUUUACUCUACCAUUUAUUUAUUUUUUGAAUAAUUGAAAUGGAAUUCAUAUAUAUUCAUUCUUAAGAAAUUGUUCUAAUAUUGCCCCUUUCCUACCUAGUACUGUAUUAUUUUUUCUUGACAAGGCGCACAAAUAAAUAAGACAUUUUAUUUUAGUUGUCAUUGAUAGGUUGCAAUUUUAUCAUUUAUUUUAUUAUUAAUUUUCCCUAUUACCUGACUUGAUGUGAAUUAAUUAUUAGAUUCUACUCACUUUUCGUAAUUUACAUUUAUUUCAGAGAGUAGAACAAAAAUAUCACAAUCAAGGCCAAUUUGACAGUCAUCGGGAAAGAAUUCAAAUAGCAGGCAAUUAAAGGCAUUCUUGGAACAAGGAGAUGCAAGACCUUUUUGGUAAUUUUGAGCCAAGACAGCAACUAAAAAAGGGAAAAGAAAGCAAACCUGGGGAAGCGUCCAGAGGCUUCGUCCUCUCCGCAAGGGGGAGCCGCCGCACAAGGCAGGAGCAAUAGAGAGGAACUAGAAUUGGAAAUGGCAGGAGGGGAGCACUACUCUGGAGCUUUAGCGUUGACUUUUCCUUCCUUUGCUUCUUAGUAGUUUUUGUCUUCUCUCGGAUGUCAGGAACAAUUGAAGCAUUGAAUCAUUUCCUUGUAGCUUUUUCGUUUGAUUUUUCCUUGUGACCUGUAGUGGAUUCCUCCUGCCACAUGAUGGCCGCAGCUCUUGUUUCAAUUUUGUAUGGGUUUUGUUCAUCAAAUAUAAACUAAUUUUCUCAUUCUAGUCAAGGGACAACGGAUGCUCUGAUUCGACUAAAAUUGUGAGAUCGCUUUAAUUUUAUCCUUUUCUUUAUUUAUUGGUAUUCGCAUAUUUCCUGAUUAUAGUACUUAAGAUUGUUUAAUUAAUUGAUUGUCUUGGAUCCGGAUAAUUAGUUAAUUUGAUAAUCUAUUGUCAAUUGGGACGUUAAAUCCGUAAUUGUUUAAUUGUCUCAAAAUAGUGAUAACUGGCAUGAUUGGGUUUGUGUUAGGGGGAUGUGCGGGCCAAUCUGAAAUAACCCUGGUAGUGCGUUAUUUGGUUAGAAUAGGGCUCCUCUAAUUCGUAAGGCAAUUGAGGAAUUAAAUCUUACGGGCGUACCUAAGAUUAUUUUUUAAUUAGAGUAGUGAUUAACGGACGUACCUUAAUCACCGAUACAGUAAGGAGGGGUUAACUGUCAUCGCUUGUUUGGCAGUUAUAACCUAUUUAUUAGUAAAUAAUUGGAAUUGCCUUUGUUUCAAUGAUCAAUUAGGUGAACCAUUGCUGAAGUUAUUUCUUGGCUAGAUCCUUAAUUAUCACUCAUUUGAUUUUAGUAAUUUGUUAUUUAAUUUUUAGUAGUUUCUUAGAUUUUAUUUGAAUUUCUUUGAGUGUCACCUUCUGCACAAAAACAUUCCCCUUUGUCACUGUGAAUUUGAAAAGAAACAAUUACUCCCAGUCCCUGUGGAUUCGACCCUACUCACCGCUAUCUACAGAAAUUACUUUUAGUUUGAGCAGGUUUUAUUAUUGCACAGGUUUCGACACCCUGUCAGUCAUGAAUUAGGAAAAGAGCUUUUUUCCUGAAAUUCAUUUUUUAAUGUUUCUUGAUUUUUGUCUCCUACCAAGAAAAAAAAAAAAAAAAGUAUCUGUCCUUUUGGUUUCUCAUAUUUUUGCAACUUUUGCAGGUAUGUAUCAACAAAUUGUCAUUGGGAUAUAUGUGUGUGUUUGUGUGCGCGUGCACGCAUGUGUAAAUGUAUGUAUGUACAUAUAUGUGCAUAUGUGUAUGUAUGUACAUACAUACAUAUAUACAUACAUAUAUAUGUAUAUAUAUGUGUGUAUGUAUAUAUAUGUAUACAUAUAUACACCACACCACACACCACACCACACACAUGCAUAUAUAUAUAUAUAUAUAUGUGUGUGUGUGUUUAUGUAUAUAUAUGUAUGUAUGUAUGUAUGUACAUACGUACGUUCAUCAAGGAUUUUCAGCCAACUCAUUGCUUUGUGUACUAGCCACAAAGGUAUUCCUAACAACUACCAUUUAAUUGUUGGAUACAUUAAUUAAUCUAAAGGACAAACCUGCAAGGCUGUUGGAUCUCAUUAAUUAAAUAAGAGCCCAGUGUACAUCUUGGUCAUCAUGACCAGUUAAUGGCAAUAAGGUUGUACUCUCUAUCUUGCCGAAGAGUGGCCAAAUCGAAGAGGCGCCUUAAUGUUUAUCACUACAAACUUACAAAAAUUAUUUUGGUUUCUACAGGUAAAUUCUGCAAGCAAUUGAAAAGCAAAAAGUUCAACCGGCAGAAAAUUGUGUGGAUUAUUAAAUCUUAAUGCACAAUAACUUUUGCGACAAUCUUAAGCCUAAUUAAUAACUCGUAAUCCACCAUAAGCCGUGAUGAUUGCUGCGCCCAAUGCGAUAGGGAAAAAAUAAAAAAAAAGAAACUCGUUUUCCAGUCACCUUCGUGCACUUCAAUCCUGUUAACUUUCUCAUUCACAAGAUCUGGGAGUUGGUGUGCUUCAGCGCCAAAGCUAGGAAGAACUCAUCAGCAUCAGACAUCAGCCUGAAUUCAGCCUCCAACUUACCUACUAAUUUACUAGUCAUAGUAGAGAGUUCCUACUAAUUGAUCAAACCGAAAAAAAAAAAAAGAAGAAGAAAAGCCCUACUAAUAACCUUGAACAAUACUAUGUUUUAUGCAACUCAGCCACUUGACUACCUGAUCUAUAGAUGCUUCAUUAAUUGGUUGGCUCCCACAAGUUACAAAUGUGUGGUUCUCUUUUCUUUUAGCUGCAAAAUAUGCGUGUAAUCGUGAAGAUGAACGCAUGUUGCAAUAUCUUCUCAUGCAAAUGAUAUACUGCUGCGUUUAGCCAAUACUGUCACACUUGAUUAUUAGUUAAAUUGGUAAAUGCUCCACUUCUGUCUCCAACGGGGAAUUCAAUGGGAAAUAAUGAUGUGGGGUAUACUUCUUUUUUUAGGGGCGCCGGGUUAUACAUUUUUAUCUAAUCCUUAUCCAUAGAAAGCAGAAAUCAAAAUUGCUCUACAUUUCAAUUGAAGUCCAUGAUAAUUUUUUGGACAAGUUUGAUUUGUUUUGUACAGUUAUAUGUUUAGGACAACAUGCCAAGAAUCGACCAAAAGUAGACUCACAAAACACUAGCGUACGUAGCUUAAAGGACAAUUUCGAUUUUGCAUAGGUAAUGUUUUGAUAGAUUUUCAGCUUGCACUUUAAACUUCUAUUUUAAAGUCUUUUAGUUUUAUGAAUACACUUUUUUUUCUGUAAUCUAUCUGUAAUCAAAAUAUAUAAUGGGCUUUGAGUAUUCCUAAGAAGAAGCGCAAUUCACUUUUGCAAAAGAAGUAAAAUUAAGAAGUGAAAUUGUUAUUUAAAUUUAUAUAUUUGUUGUGCAGGUGCGUACAUUUAUUGUUCCUAUGCAUACAUUGUAGAGUUCAAUUGUAACUAACAUUGUGGAGAUACUACACGCCAAUGUUGUACUUUCUGCUGGUUUAGUUCACCUCUUUGGGGACAUUUAGCAAGAAGUCAAGAUAUGAUAAAUAAGUGUGUGUGAUACAGCAAAAUUUUAUUAAAUUACAUGACGAAAUUGUGAUCUAACUGAAGUUUUGCUCAUGUUCCUUCGUUAGAAAAUCAAUUAACGUGUUUGUUAUCACAAGAUUACUUAUGCAAUUUAGAGAUCCUCUUUUGAUUAAGAAACCAAAAGAGAUAUUUAAAGAGAGGAAACUAGAGAGAUCCUUGAAGUUUGAAGGUUCAUUAUGGUGAACCGAUGCACUUAGCAUUUAUGUCUUCUUCAAGCCAAAACACUGAGAUAGAUAUAAAGCCACACCAAACAUUUAUUGAUCUUUGCCUUCAAAAUUCGUCGAAAUUCACUAAUUAGAUUGAUCUUUUCUACACAGCAUAUAAUUGUAAUUACACAUGCAAUUCGAAAUUCAAGUUACUUGUAUUAAAAGAAUUUUGCUAGUUCAUCUAUGAUGAUACGUAAAUCAAAGAGUGCAUGGGUUAGAAAAGUUAUGGCAUGGUAUCAGUGAAUGUCGCUCGUUUUGUGGAGUUCUAAACCUUGAGGUGGUUCGGAAUUUUAUUGCAGCCAACUUUGAUCCUAAUGGGGGGGGGGGGGGGGGGGGACGGGGAUAAAAUCAGGCUUUUCCAAUAGAACUGGCUCACAGAUUAAAAGGGUGUGAUCCCUUUUCCCUCUUGCAUGUUGCAAUUUGAUUAACUUCCAGUGCGUUUAGGAAAACAUUAGUAUAAAGGAGUGAAAGAGUGCCUGAAAUUUGCAAUGGCGAAAGUGUAUGGACAUUAUUUGUGCAGACAUUUGAGAGAGAAUGCUGAGCUGAUAAUCCUUGAUGGAGCAGGGCAUUCAUGGGGUUAUGAAAAAAUCUAAGGAGUUAUAUAAGCACCUAAAAACCUUUCUCAUAGGCUGAAUCAACCAACCGACUUUAGGCACUUCAAUCCUUCCUCUUCAACUCACAGAAGAAAAUUUGUCGUUCAACUCAAUUUUCGAGGCUAAAAAUGUAGAGGAAAGCCUCUAAUCAAUUGAAUUUAUAGGUACACUUUGUUUCCCAGAAUAAAUAACUGACAAUGAUGGUUAAUAAUUCUUUCAACAAUGUUCCAUUCAUGAUGUAUCUUUACUCAAGCUAUUGUAGAUCAUACAAAUUCCACUUGUGGAAGGAAGACGGGAAAAUUAAACCAUGUUCAUGGCUGGCCACUAAAUCCUUUGUUAAUGACUUCUAAUCAACUACUACUAUUUCAAAGAUACCAUAAGACCACUAAAAAUUCAGCUAAACACAUACCAUUCUGGGUAAACGAUGUCAUGGCCCUCAAAUGACCUAAUCAGCCUAACUUCAAGGGUGCCUAUUAUGAAAAGGACCAUAUGCCCAAAUUGUUUCACAUCCUAAAUUAUCUAAGUAAAAGUAUAUUGAGACAAGAAAAAAAGAAAAAAAAAAGAAUAGAUAAACUAUGCUCCCUUUCUUUUCAAAAUAUUCAAUCGGUAAGCACUAAUCAAACUGAAUAGUCUCAAAAGCAUAACUCAAUCAUAUAAUGAUCACAGAGAAUAGCGAAAAAAGAAAGGGAGAAGAAGCGGUGGUCUAGUACUCUGGUCGCAGACUCAAAUUUUGGUUUUUGGAGAAGGGUCGGUAGUAGUGGUUUUCGACAGAGAAUGAUAGAGACUGAAGUUUGAGAGUCUGAGAGUGUGGACUUAGGGUUUAGUUCUUUUAGGAAUUUUAUUUUUAAAAUUUUUAACGGGAUCAAAUUGACUGCAAUGCCCAAGAAACUAGCUGUACUACAAAAGUUAAGGGUAGAAAUUUCUCAAUAAGUUCUGAACACUUAUGUGUUUUAAGUCAUAUAAAUUUAAUUAUUUAAUAUUUACACCAGCGCUCGAUAGCACACUAUAUUCCUACUUGCACUCGACUCAUUAAAACAAUCGAACAUGUUUGAAAUUGAUUCAAACAUGAUCAAAGUCAAAACAAGACGAUCCAUUGAUCAAGCAGCUCCAUAUGUGCACCCGAGUUGCUUGAUUCGCAUACAUUCCUAUCGCAAAAUCAUAGUAAUUGAACCUUCAACAUCGAGUAUAGGAUUGGCCUUUGUUAUUCACCUAAUGCUUAAGUACAUAGCCUGACAGAGCCGGCAUUCUUCCAAUCACCUUGAUGAACAUCAAUGCCAUGGACUUUCUCGGAACCCAGAUUUGGAAGUUGGUGUGCUUUACAACCAAAGCUAUUGAAGAACUCAUCAGGAUCAGACUUGGAUCUUUAUCUCAGCCUCCAACUUUUCUGCUGUAUUAGCCAUAGUUUUUUCUAGCUCUACUAGUAAAAAAGCUACUGAUUUUCAGCUCACCUUCACCUAGUAGAAUGCAAAUGCUAACGUAUAUGUACCUUAACCAUCGGACCACCGCUUAUAUAGGAUCAGUUCCAUUUUUCCGUACAUUUGUGAUGGUUUGUACUAAUAUCUUUGCUUUUUAUCAAUUGUGUUUUAGGUUUAUGUAGUUAUACCGCUCAUACCUAUGCUUAAAUUUCAAUAUACUAAUUGGGCUUAAGUAGCAAAGUUUUGAAAUUUAAUUUAAAAAGAAAAAAAAAAAAAAAAAGAAAACCUGGCUACAUUAUUUUUGGAUUAGGUCAGGAAAUUUGCCUUGCUAUUCUUCUUCAUCAUAGUCAAGACAAAAUUUCUGUUGUUAGACUAUUACCAAGAUUAGGUUAAUUAUCUAUGUCCUUUGAUGUGAGGCAACAUGUCCCAGAUUAAAAUUAAGGGGCAGAUAAAAUGUCAUAUUAAUCCAAGAAAACCCAACUGCAACCAGAACUAGAUUUCAUGCCAUCACCUAAGACGAGUGGGUUAGAAAGAUUUGUUUGCUUGAUAUGUGAUAAUACAGGCUUCGUUAAUAAGUUAUUAAUGCGAAUAUGCAAAACAAAUGGUUACAUUAUAGAUUCCUGUGCUUUGUGUUAAAGCUUUUUUUUUUUUUUUGGCAACAAAUUUUUGGACUGCACGGAUCAUUCCUUGCUGCUUUUAGAUUUCAAAACAGAAGCUACAAAGUACAGAACAUUUUCAGUUUUAGAAAUGCACCUCGGUUUUUCAAAAGGUGCAUUGACUACUGUAAAGAAUAGUUUCAGCUCCAUGAGAUCGAUGCCAGUAAGAUAGUUAAAUCAGCAGUGAUAAAUGUUAUGCAAUGAACCACUGUUAUAUAUAGGAAGCAUGCUGCGAUAAUGAUACCCCAUGAGGAAAAACAGAAACCCUAAUAAUCAUAGCGAUGAUAGUAACACUAAACCUAGAGUUAUGAACUAGUUCUUCGAGUUAAUUAAGAAUUUCUUGGUCACAUCUUUGUAGUCAAGUCAUCCAAACAAAAUUGUAUUCCCUCGUUUAUCCCAAUUGUACCAAGAGACCAUUAUUUGGCGAAAAAGACAACAGAGAAAACAUGUCAGACAUAAUCAUAUAAUCAGUGCUCCCAUAGCCAAAAUGCGCAGGAUUAGAUGUAGUUGGGUAUUAAUGGAGCAAAUUUCUUGACGUCUUCACUUGAGGAGAAGACGACAAACUGAAUUUAACUCAAAAAAUAAUAAUAAAAUUGCGUUUAAAGGAGCUGCAAUGAAUUUAGUUAGGAAUAUGGAAUUAACCUAUCUGGAGAAAGAUGGACAACAUUAAGCAAACAACAUGCGUUUGAAAAAGACUAGCAUUGAUGAAAGGGUUAAAUGCAAAAUACCCCCCACAAACUAUAUACCUAGUUGCAGUUUACCCCCUAAACUAUAAUAAUAGACAUUUUGCCUCCUUGAAUGAUAUGUUUGGACAAAUCUACCCCUUUUAUUUUAAGCAUUGUUAUUUUUCUUUUUUCCCUAUCAUUUUCUUUUUAAAUUCUUCCUUUUUUUUCUUUAAACAUUGUUUAAAUAAGUAGACUAGAUUAGUCAAAAUUUGUUUAUUUCUUAAUUUCAUAUGUCAAUAUUUUAUAAAAAAAAAAUCUAUGGAAUACAAGAUUUUUUUUCCAAAUGUUGAAGUCAAUGUCAUUUAUGAAAUUGAACUUUUCAAAUAUAUAAUAACAAAAUAGAGAAAUUGAUUAAUCAAUUAUUAGUAGUAUCAAUAACCAAAAAAAUGAACUACUAUUGUUGUUUAUUCUUAUUUUUUAUUUCACUACAAAUAACAAUUGCUAACUUUUCUUUUUUAUGUGAUAUAUAAUAUGUUACUUUUAUUAUAAGUAGUUGAGUAACUGUGAACUCUUAAUUAGUUUAUUGGCACUUAAAUUGUUGAAUUACUAGAUUAAUACACUUUACAAUAUAAGCUACAUAUAUUUUGUAAUAACAAAGAGUUUAUGACAAAUUAUUAAGAAUGAAUUUAACAAAUAAACAAAUUAAAAAAGCAGUUUAAAAAAUAUUAAAAUUUUUUAUGUAAGUCUUUUCACAUCGGAGAGAGGCAUUGGCUAGUUUCACGAAAGAAGGAGAAACAAAAAAAAAAUGAAAAAAUGAAAAAAGCUAAUAGAGAAAAAAAGAAAGAAAGGAUUUAAGAUAGUAGGGGUAAUAUUGUCCAAACAUAUCAUUUAAGGGGGAAAAAUGACUAUUAUUAUAAUUUAUGGGGUAAACUGCAACUGGGUAUAUAGUUUAUGGGGAGUUUUUUGCAUUUAACCCUUGAUGAAAAGACUAAUAAAGUCAACAGUAUGCCCACACAAAAUUCAAUUUCCAAGUCACCAUUCCAACCACUUCUUUGACUAAUCCUAAACUUGGAGGUUGAGCUCCAUAAAAAAGUUUAUUCAAAGGCAAAACGAUUUGGGAAUUGCAAUGGGAAGCAAGUCGUUAAAUGAAGUAAUCAAACAUCACUUAGUAAAGGCUUACUAAACUAGUUAAUAAAGAUGUUGUUGGGCUGCUGUAUUCACCAUGAAUUGAUUUAAAGAUGAAAGUUCAGGAUCUUUAACAUGGAAUAUGGUGAUUUUUCUCCAAUUCUUCCUGGCUUUCUCUUUCUCUUUUAUUCAGGUCUCCCCGGCAGGAAAACAGAUACACAUAUAUAUAUACACACACAAAAAGAGAGAGAAAACAUACGAGAUCCUUACAAAAUUUGAAGGUUCAUUAUCGUGAACCAGUGCACUAAGCAUUUAUAUCUUCAUCAAGCCAAAAAAAAAAAAAGAAAGUUAAGAUAGAUAUAAAGCCACACGAAACAUUCAUUUUGUUUUUCAUCAUUACACGUAGAAUCGUUAACACAUACAAAUUACAACCAAGCACUAACAGCAGUAGAAUUGCUAACACUUAUACAAAUUACAACCAAUCACUAGCAGGAGUAGAAUUGCUAACACUUAUACAAACACUUGUACAAAUUACAACCAAUCACUAGCAGGAGUAGAAUUGCUAACACUUAUACAAAUUACAACCAAGCACUAACAGGAGUAGAAUUGCUAACACUUAUACAAAUUACAACCAAUCACUAGCAGGAGUAGAAUUGCUAACACUUAUACAAACACUUAUACAAAUUACAACCAAUCACUAGCAGGAGUAGAAUUGCUAACACUUAUACAAAUUACAACCAAUCACUAGCAGGAGUAGAAUUGCUAACACUUAUACAAAUUACAACCAAUCACUAGCAGGAGUAGAAUUGCUAACACUUAUACAAAUUACAAUCAAGCACUAACAGGAGAGCAAAUUUUUGGAGGCUUCACUAAGCCCAGACAAUGGGGUUCAUUAAAGAUUCUCUUAUAUUAACUUAUAGAUGUAUUAUUUAUUUUCUGCUUUGAGAAGUGAAGCAUCCACAUCUUUUGCAGCAUGAAUUAGCCAUUGGAGGUAAUGAAUUGGAGGACGCCCAUUCUCACUGAUGUUCUCAUAUUCAAUACCCCAUUUGGCAAAGUUUGAGUCACCUUUUGAGAUAACCUGGAACUUAGCGUUAUAGGUCUUGUAUUGUUCCAAAAUGUGCCCUUCAAUUACUUCGUAAGUGAUUGUCCUGUUCUCCUCAUCCACUCCAAUCCUCUCUUUUACAGUUUCAACUUUCCCAUCUGUAUAAAUUUUCACCAAGGUAGAUAUUAAACAAAGUAAUCCAGCAAAGUUAAAAGCAGUUUUUGGAUCUUUUCCAGUACUAAAAUUGUUUCUUAAUCGAUGAAGACGAAAGAUACGUCAAGUGCAGGGUUGGCCUUUGUUACUCACCUAUAGCAUAAGUCAAUAGCUUGACAGAGCCUGUAGUCUUCCAAUCACCUUCAUGAACAUCAAUGCCAUGCACUUUAUCAGAGCAAAGACUUGGAAGCUGGUGUGCUUUGCCAGCAAAGGUGUGGAAGUACUCAUCAGGAUCAAACUUGAUCCUUAUCUCAGCCUCCAAUGUUUCUGCAGUAUUAGCCAUAGUUCCUUCUAGCUCUACUAGUCACAAAACCACUGAUCAGCUCACCUUGAUCUAGUAGAAUGCAAAUGCUAUCGUGUAUGGACCUUAACCAUCGGACCAACAUUUAUAUAGGGCCAGUUCCAAUUUUCCGUACAUCUGUGGUAGUUGGACUAUUAUCUUCAAUCUCUGUCAAUUAUCUUUUAAAUUUAUGCAGUUAUACCAUCAUACCCCAUAUUUUCAAAAUUAGACAUCUCAAAUUUGAAUGCGCUUAAAUUUGUCUUGCCAUUUCUCUUUUUGAUAGUCGAGAAAAUUUUGUAUCAUCUGGAACAACUUUUAAUAGGAUUAGAUAUAUUAUCUCUGAUAUAAGAAUAGGAGGUAACAUGUCACAGAUUCAAGCUCAGAGGAAGAUAAGUGUAGACGUAUAGUAAUUGGCGAAAACUCAUUGUACCGUAUACUUCAUUAUAGACAAAAUUCUGUCCUUUCACCACAUAUUUGCGAAAUGAAAGCCCUCAAAAAAAAAAAAAAGUGAUCUAGUGGCUUAAUUUUAUGAUCACACCUAUUCUUUUCGGCAAAUAGGCCCCAAUUCAUCAAUCAAACUUUAGUCACAGGUCUUAUUUUACAGAUCAACCAUGAGACAAAAAGCAAGACUUGGUACAAUCUCAUGACCAAUCGCUCGAAGUUCAUCAAACACAAUUUCGACAACAAUGAAAGCAGUAGGUACCCAUUGGCCAUUUCGCCUCAUCCUUCAUGUAAAACUUUAGUCAAGAAAAAAGCUGGAGUAACAUCAAUCGAGCUGUUUACCUCAUCGGACCUCCUUCUUCAUAAAUGCCAAUCCAUCCACCAUCUGAAUGAGACAUUACAUUACUUUGCUCAUAAUGCGCUCCCCACUCUAGAAAUUAAUAUUUGACCAUUUCUUCGCAAUAUUGCUAAUUAUAGUUUAGCAAAAUUGCUUAGCUACAAUGUUGUCCUCCAGCACCAAAAAGCAUCUAUAACCCCCAAAUUUAGUUCUUUUUCUUUUUUUUUUUCUAUCUAUGAAGUAUCUCUUUUUCCGACAAAUAGACAACAAGGUUUUAAAUUUCUUUUCUCAAGUUGGAGGGCCCAAUUGACUGACAGGGAUUGAACCACUGUCAGACCAAAUGGAUGCACUACACAUCCGUAUGAAUUUAAGCAAUUUAAAGUGGCAAAUCACAUACAGUAGCAAGUAGUAAAAGGUAAAAUUUGAACUCUUGACCUCCUACCCCACCAAAUCUUAAAGAAUAUGGUAGUGACCAAUAGCCCAAAUGUCUGUUGGUUUAUUUCUAUCUCAGUAGUUGUUCACCCAAUAUUCUAAGUACAGAUUUCUCGGCCCUUUUCAUGUUAAAAUGAAAAAGAAAAAAAAAACAGUAGGAAGUGCUUUGUCUGUUAUUAUUAAGGAUAUAAUUGUUAGCUAAUCUUCUUGAUAGUAAAAACUUUACUUUUUCUAGUAUAUAUAAACAUCGAAUGCAGGUUGUGUUUAUCAACAUACUACUCUUUUAUUCUUCUAUUUCUCUAAAAUUUAAAAAAAAAACAUAUGUUUAUUUGAACCAAAUGCGCAAGCUAUAUCGCGUAUUUUGCCUAUACAAACAAUUGAAGUAUCAUAAAGUACGCUUGCGGGGAACUCUAAGGAGUUAUUCAUCGUAGAAAAGUUGUAAAAUAAAAAUUUAUUGAAAUAUAAAGAAAAGCUCUUAAUUUUUAUCCUAAAACAACUUUAUCAUUCCAAACCCUUGGAGUGAACCAAAAUAUGUUCUCUCUAAUAUAAGAAGGAUCUAAAAUUCUGCAUUCACUGAAAAGUUUAUGCAACAAUUUUGUUACUAAAAAGUGUAAAAUGAUCUCAAUUAAUUAAGCAAUGCGUCACUCGUGAUUUCAAUUUGAAGUUGAAAUUUCAAUGCAUCACUCAUUAAGCAAUACAUAGUUGAAAUUUGAAGUUGGCUACAAUGAAUUACUUUCACUCAAUUAUCACACACACACACAAAGAGAUAAUCAUAUAUAUGCUGGCUAUUAGAUAAAAAUUAAUUAGUUGGGCUGGCAGCCUUUGAUGACUAUCAAUAGAAGAUACACUAUUAGUGGAUACGCUCCCACAAGCUGAAGUCAAGUCAGUCACAAUAAAGACGAAGCCUGUCCCUAAAGUUUUAAUCAAAACACGUUUCAUCCUUAUAGUUCUAUAAUUUUGAUCAAUUUCAUCCCUAAAGUUUCAUGUAAACACAUUUUAUCCUCAUAGUUUCAUAAAAUUAACCAAUUGAGGACAAUUGAAUAAUUGUUAACCAAUUUGGACCAAGUAUCAUUACAUAACUAGCAUUUCCCAUUGAUAAUUGUAUUAAUACUUAAUUCGGUUAUUGAUUAAAUUAUAUAAAUAACAAUGAGUGUGUUCGGAUAAAAGAUUAUUACUUUUAAAUUUGUGAUAUAAUAUAUGUGAAAUAAAAAAAAAAUUAAAUGAUAGAUAGACAAUUUGAAAAACAUGUAUAUAAUGCUACGAAACAAAAUUUUAGAAACAAAUGGCUAUCGAAACAGUUCUUUCUUUCACGUUAAUAUUUUUCUUCAAUUGAUUGCAGUGGGAUUGUUUGAAAGAUUUAUCCAAUUGGCUAUAAUGGUGUUAUUUCUUCUCCAUGACUUCGUUUCCUCUCAAUCUUUUGAGAAAAAUCCACUUUUCGUCCUUCCACUUUGAGUUAGAGAUACAUUUCGUCUCCAAACUUUUAGACACACUGCAUUUAGUAUAUGAAUUAAUUAUUUUUUGCCACUUUUAGUCCAAAAACAGUAAAUUACUUAAUUUGGAGGAAAAAAGUCAUGUGUUUGGCACGUGACCGUUAAGUAAAAUCAAUUUCUCAGUCAAAAUUAAUAGUCACGUCAGCCUUCUCCAUCCAAAUUGAAUAUUUUACAGUUUUUGGACGAAAUGUGGUCCAAAAUAAUUAAUUCAUAUACUAAAUGUGGUAUGUCUAAAAUUUUGAGGAUGAAAUGUGUUCCUAUCUUAAAGUUCAAGGACGAAAAGUGGAUUUUUUCCCAAUCUUUUUGUUCAAUUUGUGAUUAAAAAGAGAAUAAUGGUGGUUGAAAAUUUCUUAGUUUUUUUUAAAUAAGAAAGUGAAUUAAAAAAUAAUUUUUGAGAUUUUUUGUUGAUCCAAUAUUUUCUGAAUUUUACUAACAUGCAUGCUAUGGUCAAGUGAUGAUAUUCCAUUCAAAUUGCCUGUCAAUUCAUCAAUUAUCCUUAAUUAGUCAAAUUUAUGAACUUAUGAGGAUGGAAUGUGUUUACAUGAAACGUUAAGAAUGAAAUUGGUCAAAAUUAUAAAAUUAUAAUGAUAAAAUGUGUUUUGACUGAAAUUUUAGGGACAAAAUUGCCCAACACCUCAAACAAUGAGGAUGAAAAGUGCAUUUUUCCCUAAAAAUAAAAUGAACCUUCGUUCUACCCCUUAUGUUUUUGGGCUACAGUCCUUUUUAGUUAGUACUAUGUUGAUAUUCAAGAUAACCGAACGUAUAUAGCUAGACAUGUUGCUUUUGAGGAAUCUAGUUUUCCCCAUUCCUUGGUCCACCACCACGUCAAAAACAAACCAAUUCAAUCCACCUUGACUUGUUCUACCAAUUCAUGUUUUCAAAUUCAAUGGAUCCUACAUACAUUUUUUAUCACAAACCGACUACUACUCUAACGGAUACCUUUAUGGUGAGAACGGGUUGACCGUGCCUAUGGUAGGAAGGCCUCCAGAGGCCGACACGUGUUGCAGGUGGAUGGAUUGCAGACGGAGACGUUUAGCCGUGGAAUCGCGCGUGGAGAUGCAACGUUAACAUGUUGUCCGCUGCUGCAAGUUAACAGCAGAGGUUCGUACAGCCGUUUGCGUUUUCCAACGCAGUUUGGUGGGCCGGGGCAGUGUAAUUGCAACUCAGAACCACUGCUCAUUUAUACAUUUGCAAAUCUACCCGUUAGCAAGGGGAAAAUGCUGCCAAGGCCCUGGGCAAAAAAUUAUGCGUAAAGAACGAACCGAAGUUUGAACAAAUAAUAAAUGUAAACCGCGCAUGCGAGCGGGAUAAUAACUUGGAAGAAGGAAAAGCAGAGGAGAGGUAUCCGUACUACUCCCUCCAUCGUACUUUGAUAGUCCAAUUUUGCUCUUGCGUCUGUCCCAAAUUCUAGUACAUUUUUCAAUUGAAUUGAAAAAUUUAGUUGUAUUUAAAUUUUCGUAAAAUAGCCUUAUUAAAUAUAAGUUGUUGUUACUAUAUACCCACUUUAUAUAAUGAGAGUUGAUUCUUUUUUUACCAUUAAUUGAAGUUUCCAUAAAGUUGUAAUGUAAUUAAUGUGAUGGUAUUUUAGGAAAAAAGUUACUUAAAUUGAUUGUUCGAACAAAAUUAACUGCUUUUUCUUAGACCGUGCGAAAAACAAAUUUGAACAGUAAAUGUGGGACGGAGGGUGUAGUUUCGAGACAACGGCUCCAAACACUACCUUUAUGGUAGGAAACCUUUGAGCAAUCGUAACGUAGGCAGACCCGUAACAGGUGUAUUUGUAAAAUGAGGAGUUGACGCUCUGUUAUCUUGCAGUGGUAACACCCGUGCAGAUAAACAAAACAAGACGUAUGCGGAUGCAGGCCUUUUUCCCCUCCAAUUGCUGCGUUUAAUGUGCAGUGUUUCCCCACUGCUUUAAUACAUUUUUAAAAAUUGUGAAACUAUAGUUUUGUAAUAAAAUUAAUAAUAACAUACCAACAACAAAUACCCAUGACAUAAAUAUACUAAGCAAUUACAAAAAUAUUUAUGAUUAUGCACAUGUAGUUUAGAAUUUGCUCCCAAACACCGUGGAACUAAAUUUUUCAUUAAAUUUGAAGACAGUACGGAAAAAAGACUGAUUAAUGAAAAACGAUGUUAAAAAAUUUUGAAUUCACCGUCACAAAACAUGAAUUGGUGGGCAAUACCAAAAAGCAGGAUACUUUAAUCAUAUAAUGAAGCAAAGUCAUAAAUUUGAAGGCAAAGUUUUCAUUAAUAAAAAUGCCAACUCUUCACCGCUUUGUUAUCAGGCGUCCGAUGUAUGAGGAAAGUGGCAAUAAUUAAUGUGGUAAUUUAUUCGGUUUAUAUAAGUUUUAAAAUUCUUUUUGAGUUUCGACAAAAAAAAAAUGAAAAAUGUGUAAGACAAAGCACAAAAGUCAAUUUGAUUGGUGUGUUAGGGGAAAGAAUAGCAGAUAUGUAAUGUACCUGUAUUUGACGUUCAAAAUACUGCAGUGAUGUUUGUGAAAAACACCGUAAAAAACAUGUAAUUAAAAUGGAACCAAUUUUGAUUAUUUAAAAUACCCAAUAUGUGAAUGUGUUUUAACUGAUAUCCAUUGAUAUGCUAAAGCAUCGUUAUCCCACGAAAUACCAGCACCUUAACACCUAUUUUUUCCAUAAACAAAUUUAUUGAUGACAUAAAAUAAAACUAUACCCAUUUUCCAAUAAAUGGGUAUUUCUUUGAAAUACCCAGUGUAUUAUUGGAAAACGGUUUUAUUUCUAUUUCAUCCAAUUAAUAAAUUUGUUUAUAGGAAAAUGGAUAGUAUGUUGUUGUAAUAGAUAAAGCCAUAAAGAGGUGGGGUUGUAUUCGAAAACAAGUACAUUAAAAUUUAAUCGGGUUAAAGAAGUUGUAUUCGGAAUAAUGGGUUUUAAAGAGAUGAAAUUUGAUGAAAAAAUGAUACUUUACGAUAUCAAUGAAUAACAGUUGAAACACAUUCACAGACUUGGUAUUUCAAAUCACAGUAUUCAUUAUUUAAAAUACCAAAUUUGGGAAAGUAUUUGAACUGUUAUCCAAUGGUUUCGUAAAAUAAUAUUUUUGGUGAAAUAGCAGUUCUUGAACAACUCUUUUGCCACAAACAAAAUAAUGUAUCGGAAUAAAAAAAUCUGUCAUCCAAUAAAACACCAGCUCUUUAUGACUUUUAUGUAUUACAAGAACAGAGUACCCAUUUUCCCAUAAAACAGCAGCUUUUUAUGGCUUUUAUCUAUUACAAGAACAGAGUAUAUAAAUGUAUAUACGUGUUAAUAUUAUGUAUAAAUGUAUAUUAAUAUUAUGUAUAUUAAUAUAAAUGUAUAAAUGUAUAUAAUACAUAAUAUAAAUGUACAUUUACAUGUAUAAGUGUAUAUUAUUAAAAACAUAUAAAUUAUAAAUCAAUAUUAUAAAAAUGUAUAAAUUAAUAUAUUAUAAAUAUAUAUUAAUAUUAUGUACAAAUGUAUUAAUAUAAUUAAUAUAAAUGUAUACAUGCAUUAAUAUUAUGUAUAAAGGUAAAAUUAAUAUUUUGUAUAUUAAUGUAAAUGUAUAAAUGUAUUAUAUUAGAUAUUAUACAUAAUAUAAAUGUCUAUUAUAAAUAUACAUAAAUAUUUAUACAUUAUGUAUAAAUGUACAUUUAUAUAAAUGUGUAAUAUAUUAUAUAUUAUAUUAUCUAAUAUUUAUGCAAAUAUAUUAUAAAUAUAUAAAAAUAUACUACAAAUAAAAUAAAAAAUUUGUAAUCUGUAUGUAUAAAUAUAUAAUAUUACAAAUGUAUAAAAUAUAUAAUACACAUUAAUAUUGAAUUUAAUUUAUGCAUAAUAUACAUAUUAAUAUAUAUUAUGAAACAAAUUUUAGUAAAUAUAUUUAUUAAUUUAUAUAUAAAUAAAUGUAUUUCUAUAAAUAUAUAUUAUUUAUUUCAAUUCAUAUAAUAUAUAUAAUAUUAUACAUAAUUGAACUAAAUAUAUUCACAUUGAUAUAAUAUAUAUAAUAUACAUAAUUGAAAUAUACCUAUUCAAAUACAUCAUUGAAGUAUACAAAUUGAAAUAUAUUAAAAUAUAAUUCAAAUAUACAUAUUAAAAUACAUAAUUCAAAUUUAGAAAUUUAAAUAUACUUACUACAAUUCACAAAAUUUAUUGCACGAAUGCCGUAAAUACAGGGUGUUUUAUUGCAAACCUGAUUAAAAUUUUGUUCCCGUAAACAAAAUUUUCCACCCCUACAACGGGUACUCAGUUCUUAUAAGCUAUAAACAGUUACUGUUUUAUUCGAAAUCGGUUUAUUUUACUUUCUCUGCCACAUACAUUUUCAAAUGGAAAACGGGGUUCUCUGUUCUUAUAAUGGAGCAAAGUCGUAAAAAGCUAGUGUUCGACUGAACACCGGUGUUAAUUUUGUUUUUAUCCGAUAAAUAAAUUGUGUUAUGCAAAAAAAAUUAAAAGGCUACUCUAUUCUUAUAAUGCUGGAUAAGCCAUAAAAAGCUAGUGUUUUACGACAAAAUGGAUUUAUUAUAUUUUUAUCCCAAAAACAAUAUGGUAUGUCGAAACACGGACACUGUGUUCCAUUAACGGACGAAAGCCAUCAACAGCUACUGUUUUAUUGAAAAACAGGCUGGUUUUUUUUUCCGGAUAAAUAACCAGCCGUUAUGCAAACAAAGCGUACUCUGUUCUUAUACUAGUGCAAAGCCAUAAAGAGAUGGUGUUUUACGACAAAAUGGAAUUAUUUCAUUUAAUUUCCUAAAUAAAGCGGUUUAUGCAAAUACGGGUACUUUGUUCGUAUUACGGAAAAAAGCCGUCAAUAGCUGCUGUGUUAUUGCAAACGGGUUUUUUUUUUUUCAUUUUAUCCAAAACCUACUUUUUUUUAUGCAAAAAUUGGGUACUUUGUUCCUAUAAUGUGGGAAAGCCAUAAAGAGCAAGUGUUUUAUUGUAAAACCGAUUUAUUUUGCUUAAUCCACCAUUUACAUUUUUUAAACGUCCAAAAGCGGUUUUAGAGAUGAGGUGUUUCAUGCAAACUUGGUACUUUACCAUGCCAAUGGAUAACAUUUCAAACACAAUCAAAGGUUUGGUAUUUUAAUUAACAAACAUUCGGUUCCGCUUGGCUUACAUACUUUUCUGGGUACUUUUCAAAAACAGCACUCUAGUCCUUCGAUCGUGAAAUACAAGCCCUGUACAUUUCGGCAUUUCCUUUCCCUUUUACACAAAUCCUUUUGACUUAAGUGCUUUCCAAUCACUAAUUUUCAUUAAUAUGUUUACAUUGCAACAAACAAUUUAAUUCCGCAUAAAUUGCAAAAAAUUAGUAUCUCAACUAUUGGGACUUUGCUGAUUCUUUGGAGGUCUGAUAACAAAGCCGUUGAGAGCUGGUAUUUUUAUUACCGACACCUUUUUUCCGUAAAUGGACUGCUUUCUAUGAUUUUCCUUUACUAAAUGUCAAAGUACCGCCAUUUAAUCACCAUAAAUAUAUCUCUUUGUUCAGAACUUUAAACAAUAAUGCUAUUAACCUGUAUCUUUCCCUUUCAGACCAAGUUUUUUGACUUGUCCAUUUUUUCUGCGGCGCGGACAAAAUUCUUCGGUUACUUUCCUAUAAAACUUUUACACAAAAAAUUUAUAUAUGCAUAAAUUUUUUGUGUAAAAAAACUAAUUUAUUCACAUACGAUCGAGUAUUUAUCCAAGUAUAUUAAAACUCCACACUAAGUAACGUACUCAAUUUUAAUCAUGAAUACAACACUUUUCUGUUAUUUCAAAUAACAAAAAAAAACUGCUUCGCAUAAGUUUUUUUUCAUAACUGCUGUGCGCUAAUCAUUCUUUCUUUCUUCAAAUUUCUGAACCUUCUUUACGCACAUUUUUUGUCCAAGGCAUUUGCAGCAUUUUUGCUGCGGUAAUGGGUACAUUUGCAAAUACAAUAAAUGCCUCUCCUUCUAACCUGCAAUAAGACAUCCUGUCCCAACCCAGGACGAUAGUACGGAACUCUGUGUGCUUUGUUUGCUUCAUUCCGCACGCUGUCUGCUUCAUUUCCUCUCCACGCGCUCACCAUCACUUUAACGUCUCCGUUUGGACCGUUUUGCCCCCAACACGUGUCGCUCCCUGCCACCAUUCCUACCAUAGGCAGGUUCCCACCAUAAAGGUAUCCCUACUCUAACCCUUCUUGUCAAAGUCAAAUCAACUGACCCUAUGCUACUCCGUCACGUAACCAACCAGAACAAAAACACUACUACUUUAGCAAAACUUAUCUCUAAACCUUCUGUGGAGUCAUCUGAACUUAUCUCUAAAUUGAAAUAUGAAGUUAGCUGACAAUAAAUUACUUUCACUCAAUUAUUACUUAACAAAAUAAGUACAGUAUAUUGAAAAUCAAGAUGAGAAUGUGGGGUUGGGACUAGGGCUGCAAACGAGUCGAGCCGAGUCGAGCUUUGAACUAAUCGAGCCGAGUCUCGACUAAAUUUUAUCAAGCUCGAGCUCGAGCUCGACGAGCCGGCAAAUUUCGAGCUCGAGCUCGAGCUCGAAAAAAAAUAAAAAAUAAUUAUUUUAUUUUUAAAAAAAUAAAUAAAAUAAUAUUUUUUUCUUAAUAAAUAAUAAAAUAUUAAGGAUAUAUACGUAAUUUUACUAUGAAAAUAAAAAAUAAAAAAAUAUAUAUAUAUAAUAUACGUAAUUUUAUUAUUAAAUAAAAAUAAAAAUAUAUAUAUAUACCCAAGCUUGCGAGCCGGCUCGCGAGCUAACGAGCUUAAUAUUCUGAGCUCGAGCUCGAUUAAUAGCGAGCUCGACUCGAGCUUGAAUCGAGCCGCUCGCGAGCGGCGCGCGAGCGGCUCGAUUCGUUUGCAGCCCUAGUUGGGACAUCUACAUUUGCUUUCUAGUAUAGCGUCCAUUUCACCAUGUUCACAUCACCUUGGGCAGUUGCCUGGAGAGUGGCUUUUACGAAAACACAGGUCUAAAUUUAAUUGAAAAAUAAAAGUAAAUAUCAAAAUGGUGGAAUUAAAACAAGCAUGUAUAAGCUGGAAUCCAUCAACAAAAUUUUUAAAAAAAAAAGAAUAAAGAGAUUAAUUUGUUAAACUCACAUAGUAAUUUUCAAGGCCAUAAAACUAUAUGUUCAUCCCAGAUAGAGUCUGAUCAUUAAUCAUUUGGAGUACAUGACAGGCCAGUAUAAUUUCUUAUAUUUGGAUAGACUAGAGAUCUAUGUAGAUUCUGUGAUUCAAAUUUUGUCAUACAAUCUCACCAUUUGAAGAAUUGAUGGUGUAAAAAUUUGUACCACAAAACCAAGCCUAUUCAAGUUUUUACCUUCUCGGUAAACUAUAUCAUUACUUAGUUUUAUGGGUAUCUUGUCCUUGCCAAGAAAACUAAUGAAAUGACUGAUUGUUUUUUUUUUUUGGCGUGUAAAGGCAACCACUUGAGUGAUUUCAGGAUAGACAAUGAUGACUUUAAGCCAUCAAAGUUUACUUUGCAGUAAAAAUGUAUGGCUCCAAAAUUUUUCUCAGUCUUGUUAAAAGCUGUCAUAUAUAUAUAUAUAUAUAUGUCUGCUUUUUCUCCUACAGAUUAAUUACUGACUAAUAACUUUCUUGGCCCAUGACAAUAGGAACCGUCCGUCGUGGUGUCACAUACCUAAGGGAGGUUCGCACUGAUAUUUCUAAGGUAGGUAGGACCAAUAGGAACCAAAAGAUGACUCAGGAGCAUCAAAAUUCGGUUUGGACUCUGGACCCAACCACUUUACACUAGAGCGCGUUGUGCAGUACAUCCAUGGGCCUUCACCUUCCCCACCACAAAUUACAAGGACAGGACAGGAGCAUAAAAAUUGGCCUUCCGUUGCGGCCUUAUCUCUCUACACUACACUAGAACGUGUUGUAUGUGUAUCCAUGGGCCUGGUCCUGGGCCCUCCCAACCCCACCACUAAUUAAACGAGAUGGGACAGCGACCCUCGUGUCCAUUUGUUUUGUUUGUGACACUCAAGACAGCGCCAAUAGAGGACUGUGUCAACUAUUCACACCAUAGACUCAUCUUCGCCUAUGAUAGGACAGCAACCUUUUGACCAUACUACCGUGGGCUGUUUGUACGUGUCAGAAGAGUAAAAGGUAAACGUAACAUGCUGUCUAACCUCUCGUUUAGGUCGUGGUGGAUUGCUGGUUUUGGAGUUUCUGCAUAAAAAUGUAGGGUUAAUCACAUUUUAUCCCCUUAAACAAUACCCUAUUUUUCAGUUUACCUCCUAACCUUUAAUUUUGCUCACUUAACCCCUUUUAGGACAAAAUUGCCCUUGCAUUAUUUUGACUUUUCAUUUACCUUGUUUUCUUUUCUUUUAUUUCUUUUUCUCUUUCAUUUUUAUUUAAUUCUUUCUCUUUUCCACAAAAAUCUUCACCUUAAUGAUUGAAAUUAAAAAAGAGGAAUUGCAGAGAUCUAUCUUUUCCUUCAAUGAUUAAAAAAAAAUUCAAAUCACUUUUCUAAAAUACAAUUUUUUUUAGCCUUUCAAUUCUUUUAAUUUUGGGUUUUCCUCUUUCCUUUCUAGUUUCUCAUUUUAUUCCCAAUAAAAUAUCUUAAGAUGAAAUUGUGACCUGAUUAAUAAUUAUCAAUUGAAAUUUGUGACACGUGGCAUCAUACAAAAAAUCAAAAUUAGUUUUUUAUGUCUUUUAAACUUUCGCCCAGAAAUAUGCAAUUACAAACUCAAAACAAAAACAUUCGUGAAAAUCGAAUUUUCUAUUGGGAAGGAUGAUAGAGAGAAGAAAGAGAAAAAGAAAUAAAAGAAAGGAAAACAAUUUCAUCUUAUGAUAUUUUCUUGAGAAUAAAAUGAGAAACUAGAAAGGAAAGAGGAAAAUCCAAAAUUAAAAGAAUUGAAAGGCUAAAAAAAAUUGUAUUUUAGGAAAGUGGUUUGAAUAUUUUUUUGAUCAUUUAAGAAGAAGAUAGAUCUCUGUAAUUCCUCUUUUUUAAUUUCAAUCAUUAAGGUGAAGAUUUUUGUGGGAAAGAGGAAGAAUUAAAUAAAGAAGAAAGAGAAAAAGAAAUAAAAGAAAGGAAAACAAGGUAAAUGAAAAGUCAAAAUAAUGCAAGGGCAAUUUUGUCCUAAAGGGGGUUAAGUGAGCAAAAUUAAAGGUUAGGGGGUAAACUGAGAAAUGGGAUAUUCUUUAAGGGGAUAAAAUGUGAUUAACCCUAAAUAAAAAAGAAAGAGAAAAAGAAAUAAAAGAAAGGAAAACAAGGUAAAUGAAAAGUCAAAAUAAUGCAAGGGCAAUUUAGUCCUAAAGGGGGUUAAGUGAGCAAAAUUAAAGGUUAGGGGGUAAACUGAGAAAUGGGGUAUUCUUUAAGGGGAUAAAAUGUGAUUAACCCAAAAAUGUAUUAUUAUAGUGAUUGGAUGUAUGCAGAAAAAUGAUUAGAAAAUUUAUUUACGGAAAAAAUGUGAUUUUUUUUUUUGAAAAAAUGACCUUCCAAAUGAUGUCUAGAGUCGGGUACAAACUACCCACAACGAAUACAAACUACCAAUCACAAUUAUUAGAUUUAAACCAUGCUUUUAUCUAUUGUCUGAGACUAGUAAUUCUUAAUUUCAGCAUCACUAGAAAAAUGUAAAACCGAUUCCGCAGGUUUAUACUUGGUGAGUUUGAAACACUUCUCUUUUAAACUUUUUUCUCUCCCUUCUGACUAAAAACUCUUUUAAUCAAAAUCUCCUUCAUCUCUCCCAUCAGAAAGAAAUCAAAUCUGAUCCUUUUCAUGGGAGGAAGUACUCUUUAUAAUUUCUAGUUUCUCUCAUUUGAAUAAAUUAUCUCCUAAGAUUUCAUAAUGAGAGAUUCUUCUCUCUUAAGAUUUCCUAGUAAGAGUUUCUUCUCUCCUAAAUUAUUUUAGUGGGAGUUUUAUUCUCUUCUGGGUUUUUCCUUGUGAGAGUUUUUCAGGUUUUUAUCUUUACUAAAUUUGAAAUUUUGUAGAUCUAGAAUCUAGUUUCUCAGAUCUGUAAUUUCUCCAUUAUUUUCAGAUCCAAAUUUCUCUUUGAACUUGAAUCAAUUUUAAUCAAAUCUGAUUGUCAGCCAACGUGCACUAAUAUAUUGGGAUACAGCGAUCCAUCUGGAUGGAAGAUAUAUGGAAGUUUAAUGUUAUCUUUAUUUGUAUUAUUUUCUUAGAUCUGUUAUAUCUAUUGAUUUCAGAUAUAUAAAUAUAUAUAUAUCUGUGUCAUGUUUGUUUGAUAUAUUUUCUGCUAUUAGUGCAGAUUUAUUUGAAUGAAAUGAUCUUUUCUAUAUAUAAAAAAGGGAUAAUUUCAGAAACCUCCCUUGAGAUUUUUGACAAUUUCAUGAAGCCCCCAUCAAUAAUUUAAAAUUACACAUACCUCCCCUAUCAGUGCAAAAGUACUCUACUACCCCUCAUAGAAUACUUAAAGACAUUUUUUGUUGGAAAAAAUUUGAAUAUCCAAACCAAAAACAAACACAGCAACAAUUGAUUCUCUCUCUUGGAUGCCCCUUACCUUGCUUUUUUUCCCACAUCCUCCUUUGCCCAACUUCCCAUCGGCCCUCUCCAAUUCUCGUCUACCCAACUUUCCUGUUCUACUUUAGGACACUAAGUAUUGCCCAUCAACUCUUGCCCGUGCUUGUCCCCCUUCUUUUUCCUACUUGACUUCUCCUUUUUUUUUAUUUACUUUUUCUACAUCAAUUCCCUUCUCUUUGCAAACUUGAUUUGAUUAGACUCAUCCCUUCCUCCUUUUUUUUUUUCCUAUUCAGGGUGUAGUGGGUUUGAUUUUUUUUUUGUAUCUAUGUUCUUUAUCCAAUUUUAGUUGAUUAUGGGGGAUAAAACUUGGUGAUGCCAAAGAUCAAUCAUUUGAGUUUUUCAAAAAUUAGUUUUUCCAAUACUAUAAAAAAUUUUAAAAAGUACUCUAAAAGGUACUCUAAAAAGUAGUCUUAAAUUUUUUUUAAUGUUUAAAAAAUAUCCCAAAAUAUAUUCUAAAAACUCUACUACUCUUAAAUAUUCCAAAAUAUAUUCUAAAAAUGUUUCAAAAUAUACUCUAAAAACUUUGCUACAGUCAAAUUUUUUAAAAACACUCCCAACGGCAGCUAAUCCAAAUGGAGCCCAAGAGUUUGAGAAAUGGAUCUUUGGUUUCCUAAAAUGGGUUGUUGAAAGAAAACAAAAGGCUGCAAAGGGAGGAAGAGUAAAGGGAUUUGACAUGUGGGAUUGGUUGUUGAUGGAGUGUUGGUUUUAGAUAAAAUUUGAGGCUUUUUAUUUCUGGUAAAAUUUGAUGGAGUAUCGAUUUAAUUUUAUCAGUUUAAUAAUAAGAGGCGGGUGUAUUUACCUUGUAGAGAAAGUGUUGGGGCUGGAUAGAGAGUAAGAAUUAGCCUAGGCUGCCGAAAGUACAUUGGAUUGCGAUAUUUUGCGUGCCUACAAUUGUUGGAAUUGCUUUUGAUUCAGCUUGGGAUGUUUGCUUGGCUUUUCCGAUGGUGUUGCCAAGAAAAAGCAAUCAUCAAAAUUCUUUUUAUUUUAUUUUUUAAAAAUUUUUGGUAGAGAGGAUUUCUUGGCUUUUGAUAGUCUUGCUUGGAAGAAGACUAUAUGAAGGAAAAUGUAGGCCAUUGGGUCUAUUUUGAAGCAUAAAUAGUGAAAGCAAGGGUGGUGGGUGUAAUUUUUAAAAUUUAAGGAGACCUCUCUGAAAUUGUUUGAAACCUCAGGGGAGGUUUCUGAAAUUAUCCCAAAAAAAAUUCAGCAUUACUAAAGUAAUUGUAUUGUGUUUAAACAACUUGUUUAUUUGCUUUUUCCUCUUUCACAUCUACUAACAUUUAUCAUCGUAAUCAUAUUUUACAUGUAAUAAUGUGUAAAACAAAACCAUCGUAGUUAGCAAUUACUCCACUUCAUAUUUUAGUCCUUUGCAUGGUUUUACCCAAUUACUCAUGGUCACCAUUGCUAGAGUUAGGCAUUGAUUUUAAAAAUUGUAUCAAGUAUGUAAUCCGUUUUCUCUAUUGUCCAAUAAAAUGUCCUCACUAAUUAGUUUUCUUUUUCCAAUUCACUAUUAUCUGCGUAAAUGAAAAUAAUAUUAUUCGUCGUGGAAUCACAUUUUUUUAAGUGUAUUUGUGUUCUAUCAAUAUUCAGUGACAAAUACAAAUUUACAUUCAUUUGUCUCUUCUUUCAUUGUUAAUAUCCAAUGCACAAAUUUAAUAAAAUUAUAUAUUAUUUUAUUUCUUAUAUUCACUGAAUUAUAAACUGCCAAAUUUCUAAUAUAUUCUCUAUGCCUUCCAAUUCAAGAAAACCAUACCAUUUCUCCUCCUAAAUACAAAGUUAUAUAUCAAUUAACAAUGUUUAAUAGACAGCCCAUUUAUGCAUUUUCCCUUAAAGGCUCUUCACUUAUUACACUUUUUUUUUUUUAUCUUACACUUUACUGCAAUGGUAUGACACGCUAUGAUAUUUCAUACAAUGACCCAAUUCAUUUUUAUCAACAAGAUGUGGCCAACAACCAUGCACUUGUAACUUUUGCGCAGCAUAAUGAACAUUGUCUAAUGUAAAGGGCUAUAUUACCUAUAUAUAUAUAUAUAUAUAUAUAUAUAUAUAUAUAUAUAUAUAUAUAUAUAUAUAUAUAUAUAUAUAUAUAUAUAUAUAUAUAUAUAUAUAUAUAUAUAUAUAUAUAUAUGUAGAACUCAAAUUUUUAAAGAUUUCUAAUAGUGGCAACACCUGCAAUUAAGAUCUUAUAAAUUCUCUUAAACUCUCUUGACUCUUAUAGAUACUCUUAACAAGAUUUAUUAACUAAUGUUUUAUAUAUAACCUACUAGACUUAUUGUGUAAGAAAUCACUUACGCAAAAAAUUACUAAAUAAAGUAUAAAUUCCUAAAUUACGUACAUAACUACUAAAGACCUGAUUCUAAAUAAAACUACUAAAUUAUUAGACAAAAACUUGUAGUCUUGAUUCAUUUGCCAGCAAAUCAAUCAUAUAGUAUUUGUUAGCCACUAAUUUUUUCAACCCAUAUCAAGUCUUUUACGUGCCACCAAUAAUGGCUCUUUUAUCGGCAUUGACCUAUUACCCAAUUUGAACUUCAUCCCUGCAGGAAGAACGACGAUCUAAUUUGGACAACAAAGAACUCAGGGUGGGUGGGGGGAACCAGAAGAGAUGGGACCUUAUGGCCCUGCUCGCCAACUCAGUUAUCUUAUAUUGGGAUACAACGAUCCAUCUGGAUGGAAGAUAUAUAGAAGUAUAAUGUUAUCUUAGCAAAACGUGCACAUCGUGCUUUGCUUUGCCAUCUAAUCUUCUUCUUCUUUUGUUUUUUUUGCUUUGCUAUCUAACCUGACUGUUCUGACACCAGAAAUAUUUGUAAAUUUAUUUCUUGCCUGACCUCUUUUAAUGCAGUAUCAAUUACUUCUGGAAAGCAACUUUGCUAUAUAUCGCAACCACCGACACCCCAGGCACUAAUUAUUUGACACGAUAACAGUCUUUUUUCUACACAUGCUUCAUGCUUCAUGUCUUUUUUAUACUUUGAUCUUAUCAGCUCAUUCUACCAUUUAAUGCGACCGAAAAGAAAGUGAAACUGUCCCCCAAAUCUGCCCGAAUACCAUCAAAUAAAUAGCCUACAUGAAUGUGUUAUGUACUAUAAUCUUUUUCCUAUUGCAGCUUGAUGAAAAUGGGAAAUAGUUUUACCCUUCAACUCGUAUAGACAAUCAAUAUACACAAUUUUUCUUUUACUGCAGUUUCUACAUUGAUCUCCUUUUUCUAAUAUUAAGUAACACGAUGAAUUAAUCUCUUAAACUUCCAAAUUGCAGUAAUUACAGACAGAUGUUUGCCAACUUACAACUACAGCUUGGCUAAAUUUCUCAAGACAAAGAAAAAUAUUUUUAAGUAGGCAUCUAUGUGCAAUGUAGGUAUGAAACCAGAGAAUUCUAGUAGGGUUAAUUAGAAAUAUCCAAAAAUAUUCAGGCAAUUCAUAGAAUUAUACUUAUUAAAGCAUGUCCUAAUAAUUAUAGUGGAAGUAGUUUAAAAAAAAAAAAAAAGGAAUGUUGGGAACAAAUUAAGCUAAUUAAAAAUAAUCAUUUUCUUUGUUAUACCUACCAAUUUCAUUCAAAAAUAAUUAUUGUCUUUUUCAUACCUAACAAUUUCAAGUUAAUUAAAUCACAGUUUUUUUUUAAAAAAAGAUAGUAAGACAAAAUUGUAUAGUUUAGCUUAUUAAACAUUCAGUUUUAGAUAUUUAUCAAACAUUAUAGAUAGAUUCAGUAUUAAGAUUCAGACAUUCAUAUAUUUCUUUUCAGCACUUAAAAUUUAGCAAAUUAAUUGUUUCAAUAUUCAGUUUCAGAAUUCAGAUUCAAUUUUAUCAAAUAGGACCUUAGUGUGUACUCCUAAUUGUAAUUGAAUUUGAUAUUUUAAAAUUGACAUUCAAUACAAACUUUUAUGUUUAACUAAAUUUGAUUUUUCAAAGCCACAAUUAAUACAAAAUCUCAAAUUGAACUAAAUUUGAUUUCUUGUAAAUCAUAUUUAGUACAAGAUGUUAAUUUUAACUAAAUGUGAUUUUAUAAAUGUGACAUUCACUACAAACUCUUAAUUUUAACUGAAUUUGAUUCUCUGAAAGUCACUUUCAUAAAAAAAAAAUUCAAUUUUAACUAAAUGAGAUUUCCUUACAUUCACAUUCUAUACAAACUCACAGUUUUAGCUACAUUUGAUUAUUUGUUGAAACGUGAUGCAACAUGUUUGGUAUACGUAACUUGAUGGAACAUAUUUGUGCAUUUGAUAUUUUAUUUGAUCAAUGUUUCUAAACAAACUUGAAGUAACAUAUUUGCGGACGUACUAGUGUAUAAGUCAAUAUUCGUAGUUACUCAAUUUGUCAGGAUCAUAAUCUGUUUUAUCUUUGUCGUUGCUGUUUAGUUCAGCAAAUGUUACUCCAAAUCCUAGGCACAUGAAACAAAGAAAAUUAUACUUCUUUUUUGGUACAAAAAGAAAAAUUACACUUCAAUUACUGCAUUAGUAUAUGGUAUUUUACAAAAUUGGUGACAGAAAGAAUAAGUUGUGAUGCAUAUGUCAUCUUACGUACCUUAAUAUGCAACACUGGUCUGGAGUAAAUAAAAAGGAGAAUUUAUGUAAUCAAAAUAGCAAUUAAUCAAUCUUACAAUUUUAGUAUUGAGUUAGUUUUUGUUACCUAUUGCAUAAGUCCAAUGCUUGACGGAGCCCUCAGUUUUUCAAUCGCCUUCGUGAAGAUUAACACCAUGUUCUUUGUCGGAGCAAAGAUUUGGAGGUUGGUGUGCUUUACCACCAAAGCUAUGGAAGAAUUCAUCAGGAUCAGGCUUGACCUUUAUCUCAGCUUCUAAAUUUUCCAGCCAGAUUUGGACUAGCCAUAAUUGGUUGAAGUAAUACUGAAAAACAACUAUGCAUUUUUUCCUAGUAAAUGUUGUAUCAACUCAACUGGCUGAACCAACGUUUAUAGAAUCAAUUUUCAUGUUGCAGUAGCUUUAAGAUUAUUACGUAGAUGAAGUCCACAUUUUGUGCUUAAGAUCUCAAUUGGAGAAAACUUUCAGAUGAUAGUAUUUACUACUUGCGUAAUUAGCUUGAUAAUUUUAUUAGAGGGGUAAAAAAUGUCGUAGCAUCGGUUCACUUGGUAGUAGACAAUUUUUUUUUCCCAAGUUCUACAAUGUUUUUUGGAUGAUUGGAAAAGGAAUUCAGAGUAUGUUGACAACUUUUUUUUUUAAGGUAGUCACUCGUAUUGUUGCAAGAAUGGAAAUAAAAAAAAAAUUUGGCCCUUCAAACCAAGAAACUGUACAUUCAUCCACUUCAUGAAUGGUGAAGCGCAAUAGAAAGUCGUCUAUUUUUUUUACUUUUUACUUCUUUUCCUUUCUUUGUUGGAUGCUCAACAACACGAUGGAUUUGCUGAACAACACCAUGAAAGCAACUCUUCGGCCAUUUCCAUGUUGAAAAUUUCAGAAUGGAAACCUCAAUUGUUGCAAAGUCGAUGCUUGACAACUUUAAGGUGGCAUAAAGUGACUAUCAUGAAAGUUCAAAAUACAAGUGAGAACUAGCUAUAGCAUUAAAGUGAUUAUCCGAAUUACUAUACCGGACCCGGAUCCGACCCGUUUACCCGACGGGUCUUUUAUUCUAUGUUCCGGAUCCGGAUCCGGCGGGUCCCGGAUCCGGGUCGGGUCUACCCGAACAAAUUUAGCAAAAUUUAUAAUUUCUAAUAAAAAUGAGAAAAAAAUAUAUUCGUAAACUAAUUUCUAACUGAUGCAAAGAAAAAACCAAAUAAAAAAAGAAAUCAAAUUGACUUUAUUCAAAUACAUCAUCCUAAUCAAAUUAUAUUGAUAAAUAUAUAUUUUUUAAAUUAUUAAUUCAUUUAUAUCCGAAUCCGGGUCUAAUACGGGCCAGAAUACUAUAUUCCGUAUCCGACCCGUUUUUUGUUUGACAAAACGGAUCCGGAUCCGAAAAACGGAAUUAAAUCCCUACCCAUACCCGCAAUAAUUUCACGGAUCCGGUCCGAAUCUGGGUCUAGACCCGACCCGUUGACAGGCCUAUGCUAUAGUACAAAGUAGAGGUGGCAAAAUGGGCGGGAUGGGCGGGAUUUGCUUGGGUUUAAAAUGGAACCGAAUCAUAUGGGUUUGGGCCCAACCUUACCCAUAUAUGUUUUGGGACUAAGUUGGGCGGGAUCACUUUGGGAUGGGUUUAGAUUGAUCCCGUCCAAUACCCAAAUCUAUUUUCUACAUAUUUUUUUCCUUUAAUUUAUUUUUUAUAUAAUUUUAAUAUUUUUUAUUUAUUAAAUUUCUUUUAGUUUUAUUAAAUAAACAUGCAAGUGGCUUUAUACUCAAGAUUAUCACCAAAAAUUGGAUAAACAAAUAAAGGAAAAGAUAGAUAUACAAUCAUGACUAUAAAAAUUGUUAAAGAUAAUUUUUGAAUCUAAGACUCCGUUUGGAUUGGUUAUUUUUUCAAAAAAUAAGUUUUUCAAAUACAAUGUUACAGUAAUAUACAAUAACUCAAAAAAACAUCCCAUCCAUAUUAGUAUAUCAAAUAUUUCAAAAAAAAUUUAUAGUAAAAAUUUUUCAUUUACACUAAUACAAUAAAAUAUUUCAAAAACACCCCUCAAAAAUAGUUAAUCCAAACGGAGCCCUUACUAUUUGAGUCCAAUGGGUACCCAAGCAUUUUCCAAAAUUUCCCAUCAAUUAAUGGGUACAAUUGGGAUUUGUCCCAUUUUAAACCCAAUAUCAAAUUCCAAUAUCCAUCCCGCCCAAAGUCUCAAUGGGCAUGGGUAACCCAUUGGGACUUGGGACAAAUUGCCACCUCUAGUACAAAGAAACAACUUCAAAAUGGCAGCUGCUAAUAAUUGGCAUCAUACAUAUGCAACAUAUAUUGAAGACCUAGGACCAAUUGGCAUACACAGGGAUAAAGAUCUUACUAAUGAAUUGAUCCAUGUAGCACAAAGAUAUGCAUCUAAUUCGAUUACAUUCUUUAUUUUUUGUUUUGCUUUUCCGAGAAUUGCAAUUUUAUUGUACUAAUUCCUUUUACUGCUGCAGAAAUCUAUAUGCUCCAUUACAAGCAUAUAUAUUAGGCCUUGAUAAGUGAAGCGUCCACAUCCUUCCCCAUAUGAAGUAGCCAGUCCAGAUAAUUAGUUGGACUAGGCUCAUUCUCGUUCAGUUUUUCAUAGUCAAUGGUGUAUUUGGCAAAGCUGGAGUCACCUCUGGAGAUAACUUGUAACGUUAUUAUAUAGUUCUUGUAGUGCUUCAUGCAAUCUCCAUCUAUUGCCUCAGAAGUAAUGGUCUUGUUCUCCUCAUCAAUUUUGAGCCUGUCUUUGAAGACCUCAACUUUGCCAUCUAUAUUUUCAUCACAAGUAGAUUCAUCAGUAGCUAUCAGGCUCUAUUUGCCACAUUUUGGGAAAAAAUCAAUGCAAAAUGAAAAUUCUAAUGGAAAAAAAAAUAUGAAUUAGGAACGUUUCAUGCUUCAUAACACCAAAUUAAAUUACAAUAUACACUCCUUAUAAUUGAUGUCUUUCUAAUUUUCUUAUGUAAAAAUUAAACAAUUGACCAAGUAUGCCAACUACUUCACAAGCAAGGGCACAAAAAAACUCAUAAAAAUGAAAGGGGUAAAUGGACAUCAAGACACAAGUGGAAUGGUGGCUUUACCUAUGACAUAAGUCCACAGCUUGAUAGAGCCCUCAGUUUUCCAGUCACCUUCGUGCACUUCAAUCCUGUUAACUUUCUCAUUCGCAAGAUCUGGGAGUUGGUGUGCUUUAGCGCCAAAGCUAUGGAAGAACUCAUCAGCAUCAGACUUCAGCUCGAAUUCAGCCUCCAACUUACCUACUAAAUUAUUAGCCAUAGGAGAAAGUUUCAAGAAUUGAUUAAAAAAAAAAAACUACUAAUAACCUUGAUAAUACUAUGUAUUAUGCAAUUCAGUCACACCUGAUUUAUAGAUGCUUCAUGAAUUGGUUGGCUCCCACAAGUUAGAAAUGUGUGGUUCUCUCUUUCUUUUCUGCAAAACACACGUGCCAUCAAUGAACAUAGAUGCAUGUUGCAAUGUCUUUUCAGGCAAAUGAUAUAUUGCCAGGUUUAGCCAAUAUUGUCACACAAAACUAUUAGUUAUAUCGGCAAGUGAUGCAAUCCUAUCUCCAACAGCGAAUUGCACUGUGAAAUACUAUUGAUCAUAUGGGAUUUACUUUGCUGUCUAAUCCCUUAUCCAUUGAAAGCAGAAAUCAAAGUUGCUGUACAUUCCAAUUGACAAUUCCUCGGGCAAGUUUUCUUUAUUUUGCUAAGCUGUGCGUCUAGGGCAUCAUGCCAAUUAAAUUCAACCAUAGAGAGGAUAAUUUCCACUUUGCGUCCACAAUGUUUUAAUAGAUUUUCAGUUUGCACUUGAAAAUUUUAAUUUAAAUACUUUAUCAUAUUGGAAAUUACAUAUAUUUUUCUCUUAAAAAGUAAAAUUACCGUCGUUAAACUACAUUACGUUUUACCACAAAUAUUUUUGUAAUCUUUUGGUAACUCUAUGGUUUAAUCCAGAUAUAAAAUGGGAAAAUAUACAAAUUGAGUAUCGUUGAAAAGAGAGGAAAUUAACUUUUGGUAUGCAACUCCAAAUAAUGUAGCUAAGAAGCCAAUAUUGCUUUACACCAGUUAUUUAUAUUCAUCUACUUUUUACGUACCUGUACACAUUUGUUAUUCCAACGCGCAAGUUUUAGAGUACAUUUUGACUAACAAUAGUUGUGGAGAUUUCUGCUUGUUUUGUUCACCUCUUUGGGGACAAUUGGCAGGAAGUCAAGAUAUGAUAACUGAUUAGGGAGAGUCUAGGGAUAUCAUCUUAAUUUGCCAUGUUCCAUAUUAAAGUCCACCACACCAUAUCUCUAUCAUACAUCUCAGGACGAAAAAGCAACAUUUUACUAAACUACAUGGCGAAAUUUUGAUCUAAACUAAGUUUUUUCUUGUGAAAUUGUGAUCUAAAUUAAGUGUUUUUCGUGUACUUUUGUUACAUAAUCAAUCUGCGUGUUUGUUAUUAAUAGUUUGCUUUUCAAAUUUAGUGAUCCGCUUUCGAGUAAAUAGUUGUUUAUUGUUAUUAAUAGUUGUUUUUGAUCAUUUUGUGUAGAAUUACUAACACACAUAAAAAUUACAACCAAGCAUUAACUCGAGAGCUUAUUCUUAAAAGCUUCACUAAGCUCACUUCUAUUCUAUUGCAUUCAUUGUUUUUUUAAAACGUAUAUGGUAUCCAAGUCAAGAUAGCUAUAGAGAUAAAUAUUUCAUAUGUAAAAAGAAUUUUCAUAUAUAAACUUAUUUUCGUGCUUUGAGAAGUGAACCAUCCACAUCUUUUCCAACAUGAAUUGGCCAUUAGAGAUACUAAGUUGGAGCAGGGUCAUUCUCGUUAAUGUUCUCAUACUCAAUACUCCAUUUGGCAAUGCUCGAGUCACCUUUUCGAAUAACCUGUAACUUAGCCUUGUAGUUCUUGUAUUGUUCCUUAAUGUGUCCUUCAAUCGCUUGAGAAGUGAUGAUCUUGUAAGCCUCUCUUUAAUAGUUUCAACUUUCCCAUCUAUUUGAAUUUCCAUCAGAAUAGAAAUUAAACAAAGCAAUCCAGCUCAAUUAGAGGCACUUGUUCUUCUCCAAUGCUAAAAUUAAUCUUCAAUCAAUAAAGACAAAAAGUAUGUCCAAUGAUGCUUAUGUAUUCAUGAUGUCCUAGGAAGUAAUCAAUACAAAAUAAAAGAAAAAAUGUCCCUUAAUUCUCAUGGAUGAUACGACAAAAUUGAAAAAUAAUAAUAUGGACUUAAAAAAGUAUAUAUUGCAAAACCAUAGUAAUUGAACCUUCAAAACAUCAAGUAAAGAGUUGCCUUAAUUUGUUAUUUACCUACUGCAUAAGUUCAUAGCUUGACAGAGCCAUCAGUCUUCCAAUCACCUUCAUGAACAUCAAUGCCGUGCACUUUCUCAGAGCACAAAUUUGGAAGCCGGUGUGCUUUACCACCAAAGCUAUGAAAGAACUCAUCAGGAUCCGACUUGAUCUUUAUCUCAGCUUCCAACUUUUCUGCUGUGUUAGCCAUAGUUGUUUCUAGAUCUAAUGCUCACAAAUUAUGCUACUGAUCAGCAAGAACCUUGACCAAUAAUCCAAUGUAUUAUGCAAUUCAAUUUCUUUACCACCUGAUUUGUAGAUGCUUCAUGAAUUCGUAAUGGCGCCCACAAUUUAGAAAUGUGUGGUUCUCCAUUGUCUUGGCUGAAAAAUAUACGUGCCAUCAAUGACAUAAAUCCACAUGUUGCAAUAUCUUUUCAGGCAAAUGAUAUGCUGCAGGGUUUAGCCAAUAUUUUCACACUUGAUUAUUAGUUAGAUCGGCAAAUGAUGCACUCCCAUCUCCAAAAGAGAAUUGCAAUGUGAUAUAAUGAUGCGGGAUUUACUUCGUUAUGAUCUAAUAUUAUCCAAAGAAAGCAGAAAUCAAAAUUGCUGUGCAAUAAAUUGAAGUCCAACAAGGUUUAUAUCCAUGAUAAUUAGUCAGACAAGUUUUCUUUAUUUUGUGAAGUUAUAUAUUUAGGGCCACAUGCCAACUAUCAACAGAUAGAGUGCCUCACAAAUUCCAUUUCAGACAAGUUUACCUUAGUUUAAUUGAGUUGAAAGAUGGUACAACAAAAAUUUAGAUAUGAUGUAACUAAAUUAAAAUAUAGUGUAAUAAAAAUUGAAAUGAUCAUUUUGCCUCGAAAUGAAAUCCUCAACGAUCCAAAGAAAUACGGACGCAGAACACUAGCGUAACCUAGAGGACAAUUUUGACUUUGCAUAGGUAAUGUUUUGAUAGAUUUUCAGUUUGCACUUUAAAACUUUAUACAUUGAAUUUUACAUAUAUAUUUUAUCACGAAUACACUCUUUUUUUCUGUAAUCUUCUGGUAAAUCUAUGCUGUGGUCAAAAUAUAUAAUGGGCAGAUAUACAAAUUGAGUAUCAUUAAGAAGAAGUGAAAUUAACUUUUGAUAUGCAACUCGAAAAAUUAGUUAAGAAAUCAUUGUAGCUUUACACUUGUUAUUUAAAUUUGGAUUAAUACACUUGUUAUUUAUACAUUGUCAGCGUCGGAUGAAUAGCAACUAUGCAAAAUUUAAAUUUAAAAUUUAACUUUUACAUACAUGUCAUGAAUCUAACGGUGAUAGUGUAUACACUGUUAGUGUAUCUAAGACUUACUCGUUAAAUUUUGUACACUCAUUACGUACAUUUGUACAUUUAUUGUUCCCAUAUAUGCAUUAUAGAGUACAGUUAUAACUAACGGUGUGGAGAUACUUCACCCCAGUAUUGUCUUUCUGAUCGUCUAGUUCCCCUAUCUGGGGACAUUUAGCAGGAAGUCAAGAUAUCAUAACCGAGAAGUUAUGAUAACUGAGUAGGGAUAAAAUCAUAAUUUGCCCAAAUUUCUACAAUAAAUCGCAGGAGAUAAAGCAAAAUUUUAUUAAAUUACACGAUGAAAUUGUGAGCCAAAUAGAGCAAUUGCUCAUGUUCCUUUGUGUACGUAACCAAUUAACGUGUUUGGUAUCAAAAGAUUGCUUAUACAAUUUAGAGAUCCUAAGAAACAAUAAAAAAAGAGGUGUUUAAAGAGAGAGAACUUAGAGAGAUCCUUGAAAUUUGAAGGUUCAUUAGGGGUCAAACAGUGAGCCCAAAAAAAAAAAAAACUAAGACAGAUAAAAAGCCACACGAAACCUUCGUUUUAUUUUUUUUUAUCAGCAAACGUACAACGGUUAACACUCAUAUGAAGUACAACCAAGCCUUGACAGGAUGGCAAUCAUAUGGUAUAUAUUACCCAUAGAAGUAUCAUAUGGUAUAUAUAGAUAUAUUUAUUUUCGUGCUUUGAGAAGUGAAGCAUCCACAUCUUUUGCAGCAUGAAUUAGCCAGUGAAGGUACUUAGUUGGAGCAGGAUCAUUCUCCUUGAUGGUCUCAUACUCAAUGCUCCAGUGGGCAAAGUUUGAGACACCU
rnacentral:lncRNA from 1 species